GAACCAGCCAUGCCGCGUGGAGGAUGAAGGUCCUCUGGAUUGUAAACUUCUUUUAUCUGGGAAAAAAAGCGGGUUUUCUAACCUGUCUGACGGUACCAGAUGAAUAAGCACCGGCUAACUCCGUGCCAGCAGCCGCGGUAAUACGGAGGGUGCAGGCGUUAUCCGGAUUCACUGGGUUUAAAGGGUGCGUAGGCGGAAUUGUAAGUCCGUGGUGAAAUCUCCGAGCUUAACUCGGAAACUGCCGUGGAUACUAUAGUUCUUGAAUGUUGUGGAGGUUUGCGGAAUAUGUCAUGUAGCGGUGAAAUGCUUAGAUAUGACAUAGAACACCGAUUGCGAAGGCAGCAGGCUACACAAAUAUUGACGCUGAGGCACGAAAGCGUGGGGAUCAAACAGGAUUAGAUACCCUGGUAGUCCACGCCCUAAACGAUGAUUACUCGACAUACGCGAUACACAGUGUGUGUCUGAGCGAAAGCAUUAAGUAAUCCACCUGGGAAGUACGACCGCAAGGUUGAAACUCAAAGGA
rnacentral:rRNA from 1 species